GGGAAAACGAUCCUGGAUCAGAACAAGAGGGAGCUUCCCCAGGGGGGUCUCAGUUGGAUUAUGAUAAUGUGGAGGAGCCUGCCCUGAACGACGUCUCCCAGACUCCAGAUGGCCAAGAUGCCCCUGCCCUGCCUGGAGAUGUCCCAGAGGAUGGUUAUGAUGAUGCCAGAGAAGUGUCUGAGCCUGAAGAUGACCCUGGUUUGGGGCAGAAUGAUGAGAAAGGCACUGGUGCGAGUGACAGGAACAGGGAUUCACAGACAGGCUGGAGUCUGCACUCUCUAAGGAAUGAAGGUGUCUCUGCGACAGAGAAAGAAACCCUGUUCCUGCCUCCUGGAGACACAAGUUAUGAUGAUGUGGGACAUGGUGACUCUGGGGGAUCAGUAUCAGAGAAAUGCGAUUGGACCAAAUAACCUUGGGAUAAUGUAAAAGCUUUCCCUCUUUCUCUCAGAAAUGCUCCCUCUGGCAUGAUGCCCAGAGACACUCCCUGCCUGGUAGAUAGACAAAGCAGAUGUUUCUUUAGGGUUUGUGUGAAGUUGCAGGAAAUACAAGUGUGAUUGGGAAAAAGUUCAGAGAUUUCCUCUGUGUAACUUCCAUUGAUUGACCAGGAUGGAAGUUUCCUGCUUUUUUAUCCCUGUAAUUUCUUCAGGUUCAAUUUGUGCCUUUUUCUUAUUAAAUCCUU